AUACGUCAUUAGCUUUCGUGGAAGACCAUUUGGGAGAAUACUCUAGAACUUCUUAGCAUCUUUGGGAGGGCACCUGGACUGGAAGUGCCCCAAAUGCAAACUGAAGGUUUGAACCCCUGGAGGAAAUGGGCAAAAAGGAAGACAAACACACUACUUGUGCUAUGUCCUCACUCUGCCCAAGACACACCUACCCGAACCAUGCCGUCUUGACUGCCUGUGACAACGACGUGGCUUGGGUCCCAUGUUGGUCCCUCCACCAUGCAGCAGCAGGUUAUGGCUCCUUCCGGGCCCGAGGCUGUGGUGAUGCUGGCCAGGGGUUGUCCAUUCACAUCCCACAGGGACAAGUGGGGACCUGCACAGGAGACGAUGGUGCCCUGCAGCAGUGACAGCUGG
rnacentral:lncRNA from 1 species